rnacentral:rRNA from 1 species
AUGCUCACUAAUUGGGUUGAAAGAUUCAUGUCCCAUGGAUCUAAAGAUAUUUUGAUCAAAUCGGUGAUUCAAGCACUGCUAACUUAUACCAUGAGUAUAUUCAAGAUGAGUGUGGGUUUUCGUGAGCAAUACGAGAAAACGGUGUGUGACUUCUGGUGGGAUGAUGAGCAAAAUCAUAGAAGAGUCCACUUGAUGUCAUCGGAGAAAAUGACACAACGAAAAUUUCAUGGAGGCCCGGGUUUUCGAGAUAUGCAGGUUUUCAACCAGGCCCUGCUGACUAAGCAAUCUUGGAGCUUAGUUUGGCGACCAGAAAGUUUGUGUGCUCGUAUUCUGAAAUCAAAAUAUUAUCCAAGUGUCUAUUUCUUGGACAUGAUCUUCGCAUCCAAUGUGUCACAUAUGUGGAGAGAGAUUGAAUUUGGCCUAGAACUCUUGAAGAAAGGUGUUGUUUGGAGAGUUGGAAAUGGGAAUAGUAUCCAAAUCCUUAGGGAUAAUUGGAUCCCCAGGCAAUCAGGUCUCAAGGUUCUAUCUCUUAAGACCCGAAGACGAAUCGGAUGGGUUAAUCAGCUCAUGUUGUCACAAGCAAGAGAGCGGAAUGUUCCCCUUAUCGACGAGCUAUUCCAUAGUUUUGACGCUGAGUAA